rnacentral:rRNA from 1 species
GACGAACGCUGGCGGCGUGCCUAACACAUGCAAGUCGAACGGAAAGGCCCUGAUUGUGUGGGGUGCUCGAGUGGCGAACGGGUGAGUAACACGUGAGUAACCUGACCUUGACUUUGGGAUAACUUCAGGAAACUGGGGCUAAUACCGGACAGGAGCUCCCGCAGCAUGGUGGGGGGUGGAAAGUUUCGGCGGUUGGGGAUGGACUCGCGGCUGAUCAGCUAGUUGGUGGGGUAGUGGCUGACCAAGGCUUUGACGGGUAGCCGGCCUGAGAGGGUGACCGGCCACAUUGGUACUGAGAUACGGCCCAGACUCCUACGGGAGGCAGCAGUGGGGAAUAUUGCACAAUGAGCGGGAGCCUGAUGCAGCAACGCCGCGUGCGGGAUGACGGCCUUCGGGUAGUAAACCGCAUUCGCCUGUGACGAAGCGUUAGUGACGGUAAUGGAUAAAGAAGCACCGGCUAACUACGUG